rnacentral:rRNA from 1 species
GCAAGUCGAACGCAUCCUUCGGGAUGAGUGGCAGACGGGUGAGUAACGCGUGGGAAUCUACCUAUCUCUACGGAACAACACAUAGAAAUGUGUGCUAAUACCGUAUACGCCCUUAGGGGGAAAGAUUUAUCGGAGAUAGAUGAGCCCGCGUUGGAUUAGCUAGUUGGUGAGGUAAUGGCUCACCAAGGCGACGAUCUAUAGGGGGUCUGAGAGGAUUAUC